rnacentral:rRNA from 1 species
GACGAACCGUGCGAACGUUGUUCGGAAUCACUGGGCGUAAAGCGCACGUAGGCGGACUCUUAAGUCGGUGGUGAAAUCCUGGAGCUCAACUCCAGAACUGCCUUCGAUACUGGGAGUCUUGAGUCCGGGAGAGGUGAGUGGAACUGCGAGUGUAGAGGUGAAAUUCGUAGAUAUUCGCAAGAACACCAGUGGCGAAGGCGGCUCACUGGCCCGGUACUGACGCUGAGGUGCGAAAGCGUGGGGAGCAAACAGG